CGUGGAUAACCUACCUAUAAGACUGGGAUAACUUCGGGAAACCGGAGCUAAUACCGGAUAAUAUAUUGAACCGCAUGGUUCAAUGUGAAAGACGGUUUUGCUGUCACUUAUAGNAUGGAUCCGCGCCGCAUUAGCUAGUUGGUAAGGUAACGGCUUACCAAGGCAACGAUGCGUAGCCGACCUGAGAGGGUGAUCGGCCACACUGGAACUGAGACACGGUCCAGACUCCUACGGGAGGCAGCAGCC
rnacentral:rRNA from 1 species